rnacentral:rRNA from 1 species
CGUCUAGGUGGUUAUGUAAGUCUGAUGUGAAAAUGCAGGGCUCAACUCCGUAUUGCGUUGGAAACUGUAUAACUAGAGUACUGGAGAGGUAAGCGGAACUACAAGUGUAGAGGUGAAAUUCGUAGAUAUUUGUAGGAAUGCCGAUGGGGAAGCCAGCUUACUGGACAGAUACUGACGCUGAAGCGCGAAAGCGUGGGUAGCAAACA